CAAGAGAUAACUGAGUCAGGGAGAGUGGCACGGACUGGAGAGGCUGGAGUCUGAUCAGCCGGGAGAGCCCCCGACACGGCUGUCCACGGUCCCUGGGCCCGGAUCCCUGCCCCUGCAGUUCUAAGUCACAGGUCCUGUCAUUUAGUGCAGCCCGACCCCGUGCACCCGCCGCCCUCUGCAUUAGGCUCCUGAUCCCCUCCUGGCAGGUCACUCUUUGGUUCCUAUUCAGCUUUCAUGAGUCCCCCUAACCGUGCUGGUGACAAGUACAGAUUAAUUUCUCGGCCUGACUUGGAUGGUUUUCGUCUUCGAUUCCUCCGUAUCCCCAGGGCAGCUCCAGGCAUGUUGGUGUCUUAAUUCAUCAUCUGUGAUUUUACAAAGGGAUCGCCCAGCAUGGGGACACUUCCACGUCACACAUCUCACGGCACAGGCCACCUGAGAGAUCUCCCUGCAGUGUCCACACUGACCUAGGAUGUCUCCCUAGUUCCCCUGCUGUGUCUACACUGAUCCCAGUUGUCUCCUUUCUUCCCCUAUUUUUACUGACCUGGGAUGGCUCGCUGCUUCCCCACAUGUGUGCACACAGACCUGGUGGUCUCCCCAGUUACCCUGUUGUGUCUACACUGAGCCUGUGGUGUCUCCCUAGCCACCCCUGGCCCUACACUGGCCACAUGAGCACAGUCAUGUCUUGCUAGAGAAACAGCCUGCAGCAGGUGCUCAGCGCCCUCCCUGCCCGUGAGCCCACUGUGCUCAGGCGGGAGCACCUGCUCCAGGUCUUGAGGCAUCAAUCCAGGACCCUUUCCUGCCUGCGAAUCUAUUUCAGACAAAACCUCUUACACCAGCAGCGUAAUGAGCCACCCCUGCUCCAGGAUCAAGCCCUCCAGGAACCUCAGUGCCCACGUCCAGGUGAACCCUGGAGACCGGCCCACAUUGAAGAGGAGCGAGUGGGGCCAAUGGUCACAGAGAAAGGCCUGCCGAGUCUCAGACACCCCGCCCUGCAUCUCAGGCUGCAGCCAGGAGAGGUUCAGGCACCUCCCACAGUCGAGGCCUCUGAGGCCCCCAGGUUGUUGAGAUACAGGCAGCACAGGCCAUUGGAUAAGCCACAGAUCUCCAUGUCUGAGUUCGGUUACUGGAAGACUAUUGUGAUCUUUUCGUGAUGUCCUGUUUCCUUGAUUCUUCAUCUUCCGUGGAGUUUUGUGUUGCUGUUUCACAUUUGAUGUAUCAGUCACAUUCUCCAGGCUUUACCAGCCGCCUUCAGGUGUGUCUUCUCUGACCAGUUGUGUCCCAAAUUCCCCAGGAGUAUCUAUUCUGACUUGGAACAUCUUACUAGUUCACCAGGUGUGACAACCCUGACCUGGCAGACUUCUUUGUCUCCGAGAUACGUCUACCAUGAAUUUGAAUGCCUCUAUAAUUCUCCACGUGUCCACACUGACAUGGGAUGUCUCCCUAAUUACCCAGGUGUCUACAUUGAUCUUGAAUGCCUCUCUAAUUUCCUAGCAGUGUCUGCACUGACAUGGGAUUGCUCCCUAAUACUCCAGGUGUCUCUAAUGUGGGUUGCCUACUUCUCCGGGUGUGUUUACUCUGACGUGGGACAUCUCCCUAUUACGACAGAAGG
ensembl:lncRNA